rnacentral:rRNA from 1 species
UACGGGGGGGGCAAGCGUUGUUCGGAAUUACUGGGCGUAAAGGGCUCGUAGGCGGCCAACUAAGUCAGCCGUGAAAUCCCUCGGCUUAACCGGGGAACUGCGUCUGAUACUGGUUGGCUUGAAUCCGGGAGAGGGAUGUGGAAUUCCAGGUGUAGCGGUGAAAUGCGUAGAUAUCUGGAGGAACACCGGUGGCGAAGGCGGGUCUCUGGGCCGAUACUGACGCUGAGGAGCGAAAGCGUGGGGAGCAAACAGG